rnacentral:rRNA from 1 species
UACCGAGUUUACAACUCCCAAACCCCUGUGAACAUACCUUAAUGUUGCCUCGGCGGAUCAGCCCGCGCCCCGUAAAACGGGACGGCCCGCCAGAGGACCCAAACUCUAAUGUUUCUUAUUGUAACUUCUGAGUAAAACAAACAAAUAAAUCAAAACUUUCAACAACGGAUCUCUUGGUUCUGGCAUCGAUGAAGAACGCAGCAAAAUGCGAUAAGUAAUGUGAAUUGCAGAAUUCAGUGAAUCAUCGAAUCUUUGAACGCACAUUGCGCCCGCUGGUAUUCCGGCGGGCAUGCCUGUUCGAGCGUCAUUUCAACCCUCAAGCCCCCGGGUUUGGUGUUGGGGAUCGGCUCUGCCCUUCUGGGCGGUGCCGCCCCCGAAAUACAUUGGCGGUCUCGCUGCAGCCUCCAUUGCGUAGUAGCUAACACCUCGCAACUGGAACGCGGCGCGGCCAUGCCGUAAAACCCCAACUUCUGAAUGUUGACCUCGGAUCAGGUAGGAAUACCCGCUGAACUUAAGCAUAU